rnacentral:rRNA from 1 species
GAUGAACGCUGGCGGCGUGCCUAAUACAUGCAAGUCGAGCGAACGGACGAGAAGCUUGCUUCUCUGAUGUUAGCGGCGGACGGGUGAGUAGCACGUGGAUAACCUACCUAUAAGACUGGGAUAACUUCGGGAAACCGGAGCUAAUACCGGAUAAUAUUUUGAACCGCAUGGUUCAAAAGUGAAAGACGGUCUUGCUGUCACUUAUAGAUGGAUCCGCGCUGCAUUAGCUAGUUGGUAAGGUAACGGCUUACCAAGGCAACGAUGCAUAGCCGACCUGAGAGGGUGAUCGGCCACACUGGAACUGAGACACGGUCCAGACUCCUACGGGAGGCAGCAGUAGGGAAUCUUCCGCAAUGGGCGAAAGCCUGACGGAGCAACGCCGCGUGAGUGAUGAAGGUCUUCGGAUCGUAAAACUCUGUUAUUAGGGAAGAACAUAUGUGUAAGUAACUGUGCACAUCUUGACGGUACCUAAUCAGAAAGCCACGGCUAACUACGUGCCAGCAGCCGCGGUAAUACGUAGGUGGCAAGCGUUAUCCGGAAUUAUUGGGCGUAAAGCGCGCGUAGGCGGUUUUUUAAGUCUGAUGUGAAAGCCCACGGCUCAACCGUGGAGGGUCAUUGGAAACUGGAAAACUUGAGUGCAGAAGAGGAAAGUGGAAUUCCAUGUGUAGCGGUGAAAUGCGCAGAGAUAUGGAGGAACACCAGUGGCGAAGGCGACUUUCUGGUCUGUAACUGACGCUGAUGUGCGAAAGCGUGGGGAUCAAACAGGAUUAGAUACCCUGGUAGUCCACGCCGUAAACGAUGAGUGCUAAGUGUUAGGGGGUUUCCGCCCCUUAGUGCUGCAGCUAACGCAUUAAGCACUCCGCCUGGGGAGUACGACCGCAAGGUUGAAACUCAAAGGAAUUGACGGGGACCCGCACAAGCGGUGGAGCAUGUGGUUUAAUUCGAAGCAACGCGAAGAACCUUACCAAAUCUUGGCAUCCUUUGACAACUCUAGAGAUAGAGCCUUCCCCUUCGGGGGACAAAGUGACAGGUGGUGCAUGGUUGUCGUCAGCUCGUGUCGUGAGAUGUUGGGUUAAGUCCCGCAACGAGCGCAACCCUUAAGCUUAGUUGCCAUCAUUAAGUUGGGCACUCUAAGUUGACUGCCGGUGACAAACCGGAGGAAGGUGGGGAUGACGUCAAAUCAUCAUGCCCCUUAUGAUUUGGGCUACACACGUGCUACAAUGGACAAUACAAAGGGCAGCGAAACCGCGAGGUCAAGCAAAUCCCAUAAAGUUGUUCUCAGUUCGGAUUGUAGUCUGCAACUCGACUACAUGAAGCUGGAAUCGCUAGUAAUCGUAGAUCAGCAUGCUACGGUGAAUACGUUCCCGGGUCU